rnacentral:rRNA from 1 species
AAUAGAUACCCGGGUAGUCCACGCCGUAAACGAUGAGUGCUAAGUGUUAGAGGGUUUCCGCCCUUUAGUGCUGCAGCUAACGCAUUAAGCACUCCGCCUGGGGAGUACGGUCGCAAGACUGAAACUCAAAGGAAUUGACGGGGGCCCGCACAAGCGGUGGAGCAUGUGGUUUAAUUCGAAGCAACGCGAAGAACCUUACCAGGUCUUGACAUCCCACUGACCGGUAUAGAGAUAUACCUUUCCCUUCGGGGACAGUGGUGACAGGUGGUGCAUGGUUGUCGUCAGCUCGUGUCGUGAGAUGUUGGGUUAAGUCCCGCAACGAGCGCAACCCUUGAUCUUAGUUGCCAGCAUUUAGUUGGGCACUCUAAGGUGACUGCCGGUGACAAACCGGAGGAAGGUGGGGAUGACGUCAAAUCAUCAUGCCCCUUAUGACCUGGGCUACACACGUGCUACAAUGGAUGGUACAAAGGGCUGCAAGACUGCGAAGUCAAGCCAAUCCCAUAAAACCAUUCUCAGUUCGGAUUGCAGG